rnacentral:lncRNA from 1 species
UGGAAAUCUGAAAUAAUCUACAAGCUCCUGUGUUUUAUUUUCCAAAAUCUUAACUCUUGAUGUGAGUGCAGAGGGCUUCCAGAGGAAGUAAAGAAAGUUGGAUAGAGAGUAUCCUGGUCUGGACAAAGUGGCUUGGAUAAAAGCACGGAGGACAAUGGGUUUUUCUGGACUUGAGAAACCUGUUGGCUGAGAUGAGCUCCUGUGUGGUUUCCUGAAGGAGAUCUGUCUACAUCCGGAGAAACCUGACCUCAAGUGGAAGGGGGUAAAUCUUCAGAAGCCCUAUAAGAAUUGUACU